AAGACUGGGAUAACUUCGGGAAACCGGAGCUAAUACCGGAUAAUAUUUUGAACCGCAUGGUUCAAAAGUGAAAGACGGUCUUGCUGUCACUUAUAGAUGGAUCCGCGCUGCAUUAGCUAGUUGGUAAGGUAACGGCUUACCAAGGCAACGAUGCAUAGCCGACCUGAGAGGGUGAUCGGCCACACUGGAACUGAGACACGGUCCAGACUCCUACGGGAGGCAGCAGUAGGGAAUCUUCCGCAAUGGGCGAAAGCCUGACGGAGCAACGCCGCGUGAGUGAUGAAGGUCUUCGGAUCGUAAAACUCUGUUAUUAGGGAAGAACAUAUGUGUAAGUAACUGUGCACAUCUUGACGGUACCUAAUCAGAAAGCCACGGCUAACUACGUGCCAGCAGCCGCGGUAAUACGUAGGUGGCAAGCGUUAUCCGGAAUUAUUGGGCGUAAAGCGCGCGUAGGCGGUUUUUUAAGUCUGAUGUGAAAGCCCACGGCUCAACCGUGGAGGGUCAUUGGAAACUGGAAAACUUGAGUGCAGAAGAGGAAAGUGGAAUUCCAUGUGUAGCGGUGAAAUGCGCAGAGAUAUGGAGGAACACCAGUGGCGAAGGCGACUUUCUGGUCUGUAACUGACGCUGAUGUGCGAAAGCGUGGGGAUCAAACAGGAUUAGAUACCCUGGUAGUCCACGCCGUAAACGAUGAGUGCUAAGUGUUAGGGGGUUUCCGCCCCUUAGUGCUGCAGCUAACGCAUUAAGCACUCCGCCUGGGGAGUACGACCGCAAGGUUGAAACUCAAAGGAAUUGACGGGGACCCGCACAAGCGGUGGAGCAUGUGGUUUAAUUCGAAGCAACGCGAAGAACCUUACCAAAUCUUGACAUCCUUUGACAACUCUAGAGAUAGAGCCUUCCCCUUCGGGGGACAAAGUGACAGGUGGUGCAUGGUUGUCGUCAGCUCGUGUCGUGAGAUGUUGGGUUAAGUCCCGAAACGAGCGCAACCCUUAAGCUUAGUUGCCAUCAUUAAGUUGGGCACUCUAAGUUGACUGCCGGUGACAAACCGGAGGAAGGUGGGGAUGACGUCAAAUCAUCAUGCCCCUUAUGAUUUGGGCUACACACGUGCUACAAUGGACAAUACAAAGGGCAGCGAAACCGCGAGGUCAAGCAAAUCCCAUAAAGUUGUUCUCAGUUCGGAUUGUAGUCUGCAACUCGACUACAUGAAGCUGGAAUCGCUAGUAAUCGUAGAUCAGCAUGCUACGGUGAAUACGUUCCCGGGUCUUGUACACACCGCCCGUCACACCACGAGAGUUUGUAACACCCGAAGCCGGUGGAGUAACCUUUUAGGAGCUAGCCGUCGAAGGUGGGACAAAUGAUUGGGGUGAAGUCGUA
rnacentral:rRNA from 1 species